CUCAGAAUGUCAAUCACAUAUUGCAUCUGAUCACAUCACAACACAUGCUGUUCGUUUGUGCCAUUAUUUGCACUGAUGGACUUGUCUGUGAAUAGUAAUAGUAACCAUGAUCCUAGUCAAUAUGAUCAUUCAUGUAGAAGAGAAAUGUUUUAUUUUUCAUCUAUACAUAAGGGCCAAAACAUCUCUACUGUAGAUAUGUAGGCUGGAUAAAAUGUUCAGUAAUGCGUUUGAGUAUGUUUCAGGCCUCGUUAUCUGUCAUGACAUUAUAUCUUAUGUUGAAAUGUUAAUAAUGCGAUGAAACUUAAGCAAAAACCCUUGUUUUGGGCCCUGCAUCAACCUUCUUUUAGCUGUGCCUUGAUGCACUUUUAUAUUGGACAGCUUCACUGUCAGUCAGUUUAGUGCAGUACAAGUCUUUCAUGGGCAUAGAAUACUAUCACACUGCAUACUAUAUUCUUCAUACUAUUUAAAAAAAAUAAUAAAAUACUCAUUAAUGUUCAUUAAUGAACAUUUUUAUGCUUUGUUCUGGUCACAUCAAUACAAUAUUUACCAUGUUUAGCCUCGGGCCAAUUCAGAAAAAUGGUUAUUUUACCAGAGUUUGUUCAAACAUGUCUGGUUAAAUAAUCAAGUCAAGAGUGGAAUAGUUGAGAUAAUCACAGUUGAUAUUGCUCCCGGUCAUUCAUCACAUUGGAAAUGGUAGGGCAAGUUGAGUGCAUUGCAUUAUGGGAUACUGUAUUCAGUAUUGCAUGUAUUGUAAUGCAUAUUAUGACAAAUGUAGUUGCUCAUCAAGUAUUCUAUACAUCUGGAAAACCUGCAUACUAUGUGCAAUGAGCUUACAGUAUGGUCAGUAUGCUAGUAUUCUCUACCUGACUGAUAUAAGGGAAUGCAAUUUAUUUUUUAAAUUUAGAGUAUUAUUGAGCCGCAGUAUUUGCCAUAACCUUCAGCUUCAUUCCUGCAAUGUACACAAACUUGACAAGCACCUUAUGCAUUUACUUUGUCAGCAAACGGAGCUAAAUCUGAACCUCUCUGACUGAUUCUCAGUUGCACAUUUGCAUUUUAGUCACCGUCACAUUCAAUGCUCCUUUAAAGCUCCCUGGCAAGACUUUUUAAAAAAAAACGCCCCAUGGUUUUUAGGAUUGUCUUUGUAAGAGUUUCUCACACAUUCACUCCUAGUUGCUACUGAGUUUUGGUAAAGUAGGUGUUGGUUUGAACUGACUGCUCUACAUAACCUCAGUCCAUCUCUGGCUUCGCAACGGAGGCGGUUCCUUACAUACAUAUGGGAAUGGCUUUACUGCUGUAGUUUAUUUGUCCGGUAAAUAGAGUAAGAGUUUUGCUGAUGGUUGAGGAAGUGAAUCUGUGCUUGCCGUUAUGUGAAAUAACUGUGAAAAUAGAUGAGAAGUAUUGUCAGUUGUUGGUGUUGAAGGAAUGAUCUGUGUCAAACGAAUGUUACAUAUCUGUCUGUCUCGAGGCAAAAUCUGUUAAAGCCUGUUUUAGUCGCCUGUGCAAUUUUAAAAGACAGCACUUAACAUGUUAAACAUUCCCUCUAUCUGUCUGUUUAAAGAGUUAGUUCACCCGAAAUGUAUCAUUUAUUCACCCUCAUGUCGAUCCAAAGCUGUGUGACAUUCAUUCAUCUGUAGAAAACAAAUGUAUGGAAAGGACAUCUCCAUUUAUUUUAUGAAUGAAAGAAACUCAUAUGACAUAAGGGUGAGUAAAUGAGAAUUCAGCUUGCGUGAACUAUUAUUUAUUUUCUGUCAGGAUGUCAUGUAUUUUAUACACACCUUAUCUGAGAGGUGAAAAUGCAUGUGUGAUGCUAGUGGACACGAAUCUUGCGCCACUCGGUUUGUUUGUCAUCCACCUUCAGAACGAAUUGGUUAUAGAGAAAAUUAAAAUAUAUAUGUUAAGUUUCAUUCAGUGGACUGUACAUAUCACUAAUAUCUGAACUUGAAUGCAAUCCUCAUCCUGACACUAUCGCAUAUGACUCCUGUUUAUAACCCAGAAUCUAUCUACAGUAUGAAUAUAUAUUCUAGACCCCACUGAGACAUAGAAAUGGAAAAACACAAUUUCUGAAAUACAAGUGCAAGGUCAUAUGUGGUAGGACAAUUAAAAAAAAAAGGUUUAAAAAGACUGUUUAAGCUUCAGUAUGAUGUGCGAAGUUUAAGGGGAAAGUUCACCCAAAAACAAAAGUAUUAAAAAAAAAAAAUCAUAAUUUACUCACCCUCAAGUUUUUCCAAACCCAGCAAAAUAUAAGUGUUUUCAUAUUAACCAUAAACAAAUAUAGCAACCAGGGGCUUUCAAGCUCUUAAAAGGACAUAAAUGCUUAAUAAAAAUAUCACAAAGCUUGUCCAUAUGUCUUGUGAACUAUAUUAUAAAUCACUGAGAAGAAUUUAUGUUAUUCGUUAAAAAAUGGUUCGUAAUGACAUGAGAGUGAGUAAAUGAUGACAUAAUCUUAAUUUCUGGGUGAACUAUCCCUCUAAAUCACAACUUCAAUGUUGAAACAUGUUAAAUGGCUAAUGUGUACCUCUUUCUUUGCCUGAUUAUGGAAACAAUCUGCAAUUUUAUUUCAUGUCAGGGCAAAGAGCACUCUGAAAAGUAGAAAUAUGCCUUGUUGUUUAUUCUGGUGAGUUGUUUUAAAACUUUGCCACACUUUUUUUUUAAUCCUUGUAUUUUAUUUUUGGGGGGAAAGUGUGUAAUUGUCUUAAAACUGGAACACUGUCGAUGUACAGGGGCACUGAACUGCCCUAAAUAGGGAAACACAUUUUGGCAAGACACUGCGAUUAAAUGAUCAUGAAUGUGUCGGUCUUGUGUCACAAUUCCAAGUACACUGUGGAACAAAAGUCAUUGUUUUUAAGUGGUCUGAAAGAUUUGCUUUUGCCAAAAAAAAGAGAAAAAAAAUAGUAUUCAAAAAGAAAAGCUAAAAAGAGGAAGCAGCUUGCGCAAGGGGAGGGGCCUGAUGUAUAACCCGCCCACUGGGAGGAGUCAUUAGCUCAGACCCUCCCCCUAGCCCCUCCCCCUCCAAAGCAACAUCAUUGUAGGCGCGUUUCCAUCAGCGAGACGUGUGUAUGUGAUUACGUAGUCUUUAGUCUGGUGCUCCGUGACAAAUGUGUACAAAAAAAUAUAUAUUAAAAAAAAAUACAAAGGAGAAACUGAAUUUAACAUGAGUGAGGUUUUAAAAUGUAUUAACAAUUAAAAAAAACAGAAACAGUACUGCUGAUAAUACUCAUGAGUUGAGGUCUGAAAUCAUGGUGAGCGUUUUUCUUUCGUUCGUUUAUUGGAUUGUGUGUUGGGGGCUCAGUGUCUCGUCUCUGGGUCCAUGUUGCUCCAUUUUUUUUUUUGUACAGACAACAAAAAAAGACAAGGAAAAAUUUGUAAAAUAUUGUGUCUGUGACUCCUUGUAAAAUAUUUUCAAAUUGUUUAUUACAGAGAAUCAGUUAUUAAAUAAUGUUCAUAUUUUU
ensembl:lncRNA